rnacentral:rRNA from 4 species
GGUUGACCUCGGAUCAGGUAGGGAUACCCGCUGAACUUAAGCAUAUCAAUAAGCGGAGGAAAAGAAACCAACAGGG